rnacentral:rRNA from 1 species
GAUGAACGCUGGCGGCGUGCCUAAUACAUGCAAGUCGAGCGAACAGAUGAUGAGCUUGCUCCUCUGACGUUAGCGGCGGACGGGUGAGUAACACGUGGAUAACCUACCUAUAAGACUGGGAUAACUUCGGGAAACCGGAGCUAAUACCGGAUAAUAUAUUGAACCGAAUUGUUCAAUAGUGAAAGACGGUUUUGCUGUCACUUAUAGAUGGAUCCGCGCCGCAUUAGCUAGUUGGUAAGGUAACGGCUUACCAAGGCAACGAUGCGUACCCGACCUGAGAGGGGGAUGGCCCACCCGGGAACUGGGACACGGUCCAGACUCCUCGGGGAGGCAGCAGUAGGGAAUCUUCCGCAAUGGGCGAAAGCCUGACGGAGCAACGCCGCGUGGGUGAUGAAGGUCUUCGGAUCGUAAACCUCUGUUAUUAGGGAAGAACAAAUGUGUAAGUAACUAUGCACGUCUUGACGGUACCUAAUCAGAAAGCCACGGCUAACUACGUG